UCUAAUAUGGCAGAUUAGU
rnacentral:tRNA from 2 species